rnacentral:rRNA from 1 species
GACAGAGGUGCCAAGCGUUAGGCGGAAUCACUGGGCUUAAAGCGUGUGUAGGCGGACUUGUAAGUACCUUGUGAAAUCCCACGGCUCAACCGUGGAACUGCUUGGUAUACUGCUUGUCUUGAGCCACUUAGGGGCUACCGGAACAAAUGGUGGAGCGGUGAAAUGCGCAGAUAUCAGGAGGAACACCGAUGGCGAAGGCAGGUCUCUGGGCCAUAACUGACGCUGAGAAGCGAAAGCAUGGGGAGCGAACAGG